AAGGCAGCCAUGCUGUUAAGGUCACAGUCACCAUUCCCUGCCCAUCAAAACUCACAAUAAAAUUAAUUAAUUGUACACUAUCAAAUUAUCAUGGUACUAAUAUGCUUUGUCAUAAUUUAGGAAAAUAUAGAAGGGGUUGGAGAUAAAAAUUGUAGAGUACGUCUCCUAAUUAAUGAAUAUUGGUGAUAUAGCACAAUCAUUAGAUUUAUGAAUAACCAACAAAAUUAAAGUUUGCUUGUCCCAAUCUAUAGUUGAUAAAGGUAUGUCAGUAGUAAAAGCUAUUUUUAUUUUUAUUUGUCUUUUCCUUUUGAUUCUUCCAAAUCUCAUUAAUAUGGUAAAAGAAGGGCUAGAAGACAC
rnacentral:misc_RNA from 1 species